rnacentral:rRNA from 1 species
ACUACGGGGUGCAGCAGUGAGGAAUAUUGGUCAAUGGACGAGAGUCUGAACCAGCCAAGUAGCGUGAAGGAUGACUGCCCUAUGGGUUGUAAACUUCUUUUAUAUGGGAAUAAAAUGUUCCACGUGUGGGAUUUUGUAUGUACCAUAUGAAUAAGGAUCGGCUAACUCCGUGCCAGCAGCCGCGGUAAUACGGAGGAUCCGAGCGUUAUCCGGAUUUAUUGGGUUUAAAGGGAGCGUAGGUGGAUUGUUAAGUCAGUUGUGAAAGUUUGCGGCUCAACCGUAAAAUUGAAGUUGAAACUGGCAGUCUUGAGUACAGUAGAGGUGGGGGGAAUUGGUGGUGUAGAGGUGAAAUGAUUGG